UUGCUCGCUUCAGCAGCACAUAUACUAAAAUUAGAACAAUAUAGAGAAGAUUAACAUGGCCCCUGCACAAGGAUGACAUGGAAAUUCAUGAAGCAGUCCAUAUUUUU